GCGUUUGCGCCACUGCCUCCAGGCUGGGUGACAGAGCAAGACCCUGUCUCAAAAAAAGAAAUCUCAUGGGCACCAGAGGAGCGGGAAGCAGCGGUGGCCCCGCAGCAGCAGCUAUGCAUCGGGAGGUGGGGUUUUUCUGCUUCUGCUCACCUUUCUGCUCACAUUUUCCCAUAGUGAACAUGGAUUGCCUGUGUGUGAACACUUUUUUAAGUAAAUUAAACCUUGUGGAUAUUUUCAGUUUGUAUCUUAUCUGCCCCUCACAGCAGACCAUUGACUGUUCGAUGCUUUUAGAAAUCUCCUUCGUGCUGAGCCCUGCGUGCUCUGGACCCAUGCGCUCUACGCCUCCUCUGGGCCCCUGCUCAUGGCCUGCCUACCCUGGCUGUCCCUGUCCCCUCUUGCUGAUACGGUUCUGUUACUCUGGUCCUGGGCCAGUGUCUGUCUCUCGUGUGCUAAGGCAGAUGGCCGAGAGUGGUGGGUAUCCCACAGUGGGGUGCCAGGCAUUUUUACUUCUAUGCUUUCCAAAUCCACCUGCCCUUCCCCACCCUUAGCCUGGCCCUUCCAGUGCCCUGUCUUAGACCUGGCGCCACUUCACACGACCAGCCAGGCCCAGGGCCCCGGGCAUCCUCCCUGGCAAGUCCUCCCAUCCCCUGCCAUUGGUCUUCGUGCUCCUAGUGAGCCUCCGACCCAGGCUGUCCCCUGACUGCUGCCGUCCUGGUUUGGGCCCCUCCUGCUCUGGCCGUCCUCCACACGGAGCCCACAUGAACUUGUAGAUCUGAGUCUGGCCACAUCCCCACUGCAGGAAUGCCCUAGCUGGCUCCCCACACCACACCUGCAGAGUGGCCCGGCUGGCCUGGGUGCCCUGGCCUGCUCUCCUGACAGCUCUAUCCUCAAGGCCCCCUCUGGCCCUUCUCCUGCCGGCUCCCAUUUGACCGUCAGCUCCCCUCCUCCAGGCAGCUUUCUGCAUCCCUCCUGGAUGCAGGUGCCCCCAGCCUGCCGCCAGGCACCGGGGCUGUACUGUCACGCAUUUAUCCCUCCCCGUGGCCUGGGGCCCACCUGUCGGGGCCACACAGCUGUGGUGGUCACCAAGUUUCUACGUGCUGGGUGUUCUCACCAGUGAUGUAGACGUGUGUCCUCAGAACGCUUGAGACAGGCGGCACCACCCCAUCUUAAAAAUCCGGAGAGCGAGGCUCAGAGCCAGCUGUGCCUGGGGAGCCACUGAUGAGAGAGAAGUGGCAGAGAGGGGGAGCCGCUGGUCUGCUGGGUGCUCAGCAUCUUUAUGGGAGAAUGCACACCCCUUGUGACUGCAGUCAGUGGGAGCCAAGCUGGGGAGCGGUCCCUCUGUCUAGCUGCCGGCCUGUCUCUGCAGCCCCCAGGCCCCCUUCUGUUCGCAGCGUGCCCUGGACUUCAGGGAGAGCAGGGAAGCUGAGCCCCACCCGCUGUGGGAGUACCCAUGCCGCAGCCUCUCUGAGCCCUGGCAGAUCCUGACCUUUGACUUCCGGCAGCCGGUGCCCCUGCAGCCCCUGUGUGCCGAGGGCACCGUGGAGCUCAGAAGGCCCGGGCAGAGCCACGCAGCGGUGCUAUGGAUGGAGUACCACCUGAUCCCGGAGUGCACGCUCAGCACUGGCCUCCUGGAGCCUGCAGACCCCGAGGGGGGCUGCUGCUGGAACCCCCACUGCAAGCAGGCCGUCUACUUCUUCAGCCCUGCCCCAGAUCCCAGAGCACUGCUGGGUGGCCCGCGGACUGUCAGCUAUGCGGUGGAGUUUCACCCCGACACAGGCGACAUCGUCAUGGAGUUCAGGCAUGCAGAUACCCCAGACUGACCACUCUUGAGCAAUAAAGUGGCCU
rnacentral:sRNA from 1 species